UACAGAGGUCCCGAGCGUUGUUCGGAUUCAUUGGGCGUAAAGGGUGCGUAGGCGGUUUUUUAAGUUUGAUGUGAAAUCCCGGGGCUCAACCUUGGAAUUGCAUUGAAUACUGAAGAACUAGAGAUCUGGAGAGGAAACUGGAAUUUACGGUGUAGCAGUGAAAUGCGUAGAGAUCGUAAGGAAGACAGUGGCGAAGGCGAGUUCUGGACAGAUACUGACGCUGAGGCACGAAGGCCAGGGGAGCAAACGGG
rnacentral:rRNA from 1 species